CUUUUCCAUUUCUCUCGUGUUUUCAUUUGUUUUCUUUCCUCCCCUUCUGCUCUUUUUUGUCCAACUUCUCAUUUCCUCCUUCGAUUGCCUUCCCCUUUCCCAAUUUAAUCAACCAUCCAGUCAAUCAGAGGCUGGUUCAAUCGAUGAUUGGGCACCGCUCUAUUCCCUCUCCCAUUGUUCAAUCACUGAUUGUCGACUGCUACUAAUUUUUACUCUCGCCGGCCUAUCUCUUCUCAUUUCUACCUCCAGUAAGUCGCCCUACAGUUAUUGUUUUGUCUUGGGUCUGGGACCCUAUAUGCUCACCAUUUUCCUCUCUCUCUAUUCUCGUUUGUGAAAAACUCUGUGAAUUUUUAUGAUAUUAAUCAUUUGUUUUGAUUUUUUUUUGUAGUCACAGUGAGAAGCGUAUUUAUAUUCAAUGGUUUUGUAAGGGUUCGUGUGUUUUCCAUUGCUAUUUUAGAACUUCAAUUGAAUAAUCUAUGAUUGUUUUUUUGAUAUGCGGUGAAUAAUUUUUAGACAUUUCUUGAUUUUUAGGUUUUAUUCAUAUUAUUUGUUUAGUUAACGUUAUCGUGAAUCAAUAUGUGAUUCUAGAUACUUGUUUGUAAAUUGAGGCGGAUUUAGUAGCCAGAUUAAGUGCUAAUAUGAAUAACAAUCUGAUGUUCUAAAAUAAGAUAAUGACUACUAUUAUACUGAUUAGUGUAAGCCAAAAAGAAAAAAACAUAGUAAAUCUCUCCAUUAUCGAAUCAGAUAACAACUAGAAACCAACACAAAUUAUAGUAAAAAUCAAACACACAUUGCGUUAUAGUAAAAGGGCAAAACCCAAUAAAGAUACACGUAAAUCACACGUUCGUUAUAGUAGAUUGUCUUAAGAAAUUUAAUUCAGCUAAUAUUUCUGUCUAUUUGGUUUGUUUGGUGUUUCCUCCCAUAAGUUUCCUUAAUUAUUUUGGAGCUAAAGAGAGUGUUUUUGUUCUUGAAUGUGCUAAUGGAUAGAAUAUCCCUCUUUUUUCUUCAAUCUUACGCAUUUUGUUUUUUUGGGCCUCUUCAUUUUCAGUAUACAAAUUGUGAAAUUGGGUCAGAGGUUUCUCUUUUUGUGUAAUAAAAUAUUAUUUUUGUUACUUAGAGAUCAACUAAAUGAGAGGUAUUAUUUUUCUUUCCUCAAGUUGCUCAGAGAGUAUCAUCUGAGUUUCAUAGUUCUCUUACAAUUCGGUGAAGGUUCCUCAGAAUGUGGUCUAUCCUUGAAGGUGGAGAUUGCUUGAAAAGAUUUGUGUAAAUGUUUUGCUGGAAAAGAUUAGACAUUCUGGAUAAAUGUUUGCAGGGAAAGAUCUAAAGCAUAUUUGCUUGAAGGGUCAGAAUUUCAUAGUUCACUCAUUACAACAAAUGUAGCUUGUCACUACUAUUCUGAAGUCCUUGUCCCAAAAUGUUUCCACUUUGAAUAUUUUUUUCAUAGGUGGUACUUAAUAGAAAGUAUCUUUGCUUGGUGUAGAGCAAUGAUAUUAUUAAUGAAGUAUGUAGUCAGCUAGAGCAUUUUUGCACAGCUAAGACAAAGAUUGAGAAACAAUAAUCAAGAGUUUUAACCAUUAAAGAGAGAGAUAUCUAAUUAAAAUUUGUGCUGGAUGCAGAGAAAAAAUUGUAUCCCAAUUUAUUUCUAUUGAAACUGAGCACAAGGUUAUUUUUAUUUUAAGUCCUCUUCCUUACACUCCAUGAUUUACAGCUUCUUAAUGAAACAAGGUUUCUGUAGUUGACAAUUCUAUGUUUAGAAUGCUUGUUAGGUUCUCCAGCAUGUUAUGAUUAGCCUCAUUAUGUUUACAUUCAAACCUGAGGAUCUGCAAUGCUCCUUAUUUUGUUAUAUUAUUCGGGAACUACUUGCCUGAGACUAAUGUUAAAUUUAGCUAUCCUAAGGUAACGAUACAUUUCACUAUGUUUUUUAUGUACUAUCGUGUUUAUGUUCUUUAUAUAUUACCAAAUUUGGUGUCAGGUUUAUUAAUGAGAGGAUUGAAUUUCUAGUUAUUUCAAGAAGUAAGACUAAUGAAGAAAGUAAGGAGAUACAUGUGACGUCCCAAUCAAAUUCAAAUGGAUUGUCAAAGAUAUCAUCCGAGUUUUCUCAAUUUUUACAUACAAGGUGUUGAAUUUGUAGGUAUGAAGAAGGAUCGGUCUAAAAGUGUUGUUGAGAUUCCUGCUUCAGUUUUGGAGUUCUUUACCAGAAGCAAACAAUUGUGAGGGAAGCGCGUUGCAACAAUACCACUCUGGUGGAGAAUGGAGAGACAUGCUAGGUGUGGUUUCCCAUAGAAAAAAUGAGGCACUGGCUCAAGAAAAUUUCGGUAAUAUGUGGACAAAAGGAAGAAAUCACAAGAGGGAAGAACGUGCAAAUCAGAUGGGAAAAACUUUAAAUCUAAAGACUCCAGUGACGACUCUGAGACGGAACUGUUUGGAAGAAUAUAUAGUGGAGCAACAACUUCUUCAUCCAUGUCCUUAGCUUCUUAGAAUUAUUUAGAUACUCUCUACAUUUUUAUUGUAUUAAAUUGUAGUCAAUAUUUUGGUUUAUUGAAACUAUGUAAAACAUGAUUAGAUGUGUGUUAAUGUAUAUAAUUUUGUUAUUUAAAUAUUAUAUUUUUGCUGAUUAAAAAAAAAAAACUAAAUUGG
rnacentral:lncRNA from 1 species